UAUUAAUUUGCCUGCAGAUGAGUAUAGUGCCUUUAGCCUCUCAUUUGCUCUGAGGGUGAUACUUUGAUACAGGAGAUACUUUGGACUGCUACAGGAGAGUCUCAGCAAGUGGACCAUGCUGAUGCUUUCUAGAUGAAAAGAAGGCAAGCAACCGUCUCUUCACACUUAAAGAGCUCCCAGGAGCAAAGGGAGAAUGAGAUAAUGAGACCAAGUGCUCUUACAAUGAACCUUGGAGGACAGCAAGCCAAGAAGGAAGCAUGUCCUUUACCUGUAUCCCCAAACACUGUGAACAUCCAAGUGGAAAGUUCCACCCAAGCUGUCUGGAGACCCAGCAGCAGCAGGACUUGAACCCUUCUUUUUAACCUGUAAAUUGACACAAAUGGGCAAAUUAUGGACCCAGCAGGAGGGAUUAUGCCUGAGGCAGGCGAGAUGUAACUCAUGCAGAAAAAGCAGUGAGAAGGGGAAAGCUCAGUGCCUGCGCUUCUUGCCCAUUUCCUCUUUCCCAGGUCAAGAAGAAACACCCAUUUGAAAUCGUGGUUGCUUCAGCAAGGCACAAAUCCUGCAGCUGGCCAAGUUCUGCAGGCAGGGGCAGAAGCCAUGUGCUGAAUCAGCUUGCCUGAGGCCACCUGGCUUACGUGCCAGAGGGUGCCAGCUCCAAAUGUAAGGCUUUCAAGCUAGAAAAUCUCAGACAGUUGACAAUGUGCUUGUAGAUACAGAAAAUGCCUGUGACAGCUAGACUGCUAGAUAGACCUUAAUAAGAAUUGUUCUUAAAACCAAAUGUUCAGAGAUAUUUGUCCAAAGGAAAAAUCAUGUGGGGCUGAGAGAAGAAACAAAAAGAGACUAAACCAAACAAAAAAAGUCUUGGUACUAACUCCGUCGUCCUAUUAAAAGAUGUUUGGAAACAAAGCCUGUAAGGUGGUUUGAAAUGCGCAAAUGUUAAAUAGUGCGGAUUAUUGCAAAUCUCUCUUUAUUUGAUCCUCCUUUCCUUCUGCUGCCACGUGCACCCCCCUGCAGACCUGCUGGUGUCCGCACCGCGGUCAUUCAUUUCCCAGCAGACUUUUAACUGCAGCGGAUAGAGAAGGAACAAACAGGUCGAAGACUUUGGCAGCAUCCUAUUAAAGUGCUGCAAAAAAGGGUGGCGAUUCCUGUCCAGCGGCAUCGAGGGCUUGUGUUUGCAUGGUCGGGAGUGUAAAUACGAGCACGGUGCCCACCGCUGCCCCCAGCCUGCCCCGGGCUGUGCUGGAGGGGCUCGGGGAGCAGCGCAGAGGCUCAGCGAUGGGGUGCGAGUGACACCCUGUGGCCACCUCUCCUCGGGCUCUUCCUGGACCUAAAGAGCAAAGCUGGGGAGAGAGCUGCAGGCCGCCCCUCCAGAGGGAUCCUCCCCUCUAGGCUCUGCAAAGCGGUGCUGCUCCGGCUGGGGGAGGCAGAGGAGGAGCACUUAGGGUCAAAGGGCUCUCUGAGCCUUCCCUGGGCUUCAGCCAGCCCUGAGGCUUUGGAGGUGCACCCCCCCCCACCCCCCAUCUCUCUGACCCAUGUCACUAAUUCCUUUUGCCCUGGUCUUGCACCAUCAAUUUUUUUUACCUGUUGCUGCACGGCUGGUCCCUAAUUGGGUGUGAUUUCAGGAGCUUUCAGUAGCUGCAGCCCAACUAAUGCAGGAAAGAAAAUAUUUAUAUUCAAGGAUAUCUUUGCUUGUGGGAUUGCCAGCUGUGCUCAGACAGCUGUGGAGGGUUGGAUGGUUUGGGCAAAGACACCUUCUACUUCUCUGAGCCAAUGCAAACUGCAGUGGAGAACCUGUUAUCUCUUAAUCCAGAUCCACACCUCGGAGCUGUUUAGGCAUUCUGUCUUAUUUCAGCCUGUUACAAGCAGCGAAACUGGUGUGAUACAGAUCCGAGCUCGUUAAUCCGAAGUGUUUGGGGGCUCACUAACAGCCAGAGCCACCUUCAUUCUAGGUUUGGAUGGAGGUCUACCUCAUCUUAGACCCAAACACCAACUACGAGUGUUUCUCACCAUGGAUAGCUACAUACUUGGCUUUGGUUUAUUUAUUUAUUUUUUUUUUAAUGAGGUGAUGAUGCUUUAUUCCCUACACAGAAGGCAUUACCCAAAUCCACCACUGCUUAAUUCUGAAGGUGCAGAACAUUUUGGUUUGCUGUUCAGAGCAGGGAGGAAAAAUAUCUCAUAUAGGAGGAAGAGAAACCCCACACUGUGAUCACAUAGUUGCUGUAUUACUUGUCUCGAUGAAGUAUUGUUUUGUUCAAAAUGUCAAAUUCUGUGUGUCUGUUUCAGCAAUCCAGAGAUGAGUUAUCUUGAAAAUCAUCCUUCUGUCACUGAAUUUCCAAAUUACAAGGGAAAAAAGCAAGUGAAAGGAGCUCUGCCAUUAGGUUUGCCAACUCCUUCCAUUUCAGCAGCAAGCCACUGGUUUCACUGCCCCCUGCCCAAUUAAGUGUUUAUUAUUUUAGGUUUUCCUGCAGUAGGAGGGAGAAAGUGAUUAAUCUCUUUAUUAGGGAUGGGUGGGAGGAGAGAUUUUAGUGUACAUUCGUUCAAACUUUGGGGUACAUGCAUCUCCUAUCGCUCUCUCAGCAUUGCUCUCAAUUGGAUAAUUUUAGAUCUUUACAUACCUACUAAUAUCCUCUGCAAAAGAAGGUGGGGGAAAUGUAGAUCGUAUAUUUGCAUACAUCUACAUUCAUUUGCAUAUUUUUCAGCAUAUUCCCUUAGACCUACGUGCCCUCCUGUUAGGAAGUGAUUGUCCACCAGGCUCUAACAUGAACACAUCACCACGUUCCUGUCCAUUUCCACAGCACAACAUCUCAGUAAUGGAGCAGGUCAGCUUAAAAUACAGGUUAUGAAAUAAUGUCAUAUCCCUCUGCUCUGAUCUGUCCUAAUAUAUACACAAAAAGCAAAGGCCUUCUGUCCCAGAUGAGCACUGAGCACUCGUCAUUCUGCUUCUACUGGAUUGAUGUCUGCAGACCCAUCUGAGCUGUAUGGGGAAUUCCCCAAACUGCCACAACUUUGUUCCUCCUUCGUUCCUUUCACAAGUGUGAAAGCAUGAACAGGCGAACCACCAGCUUGUGAGAUCCACCAACCACUCACAAACCCAACCGCCCAAGAAAUUUGGUUCUGCCAGACAUUUUCCAGUGCAAUAUCUUAAUUCAGUUGUACUUCAGUUUAAGAGAUGAUCAAGACAAACACCACUUUCAGGGUCCAAUCUGAAGUUCAGUGGUGGUCUUGCAGGAUGGCAGAUCAGGUUCUCAUUUUCCAAGGAAUCGGAAGACUUGGCCUUCACUGAAAAUCAAAACACAUCAGGAAAAAGAACAACCCACCACCUCUUUCUAACCCUUCAAGUUGUGAAAAUUAUCUUCCAAAUCGAAAUAGCUUCAGUAAUUAAGAUUGUUGAAUAUAUGGUACUCAGGAAUGUGCAGUUCAUGAUUUUUUCAAUGAGAACAUAUUAAAUUAUGCCUUUUGAUAUCUCUUUUCAAAAUGUGGAAUUAUCAAUUUUUUAUGUGCUGGAUGUGUGUGCUGACUCUGUCCAUACAUAGAAAAUGCACUUAAAAUGCUAACAUUUCAGUGUAAUAGUUCGAUUGAUGAGAUUUUUCUUAUAAAGGGGGAUGAGAGGGAAAUCAGAUAAAAGAAGCUGG